rnacentral:lncRNA from 1 species
CUUAUUUAGUCAUUCUACAAUAGAUGGACAUCCUCUCAAUUUCCAGUUCUUUGCCACCACAAAGAAAGCUGCUAUGAAUAUUUUAGAUCAUAAAUAAAGACCCCCUUUUCUUCAUUGGAUGUAAAAUCUAAAGACCAGAAAGUCAUUCCCUAAGGAAGGGGCUUGAGCCAGGACAGCACUGAAAAAGCUCAGAGAAGGCCGGAAUGACAUGGGAAAGGACCAAAGAAAGACAGUCACCAUUCCAUGACCCCCACAGCAUGCAUAUUUAUUGCAAUCCUAACUAGGAAUCUAAUGGGAAGGCCCGAGAAAAAGAAGUUUUUGAAAAAGAUAAAAAGUUAAACUGGGAAGGAUACCGUAUGCCAUUGGUAGGAUAGAGAAACCAGGGACACUUGAAAGGUGGUCAGGGUCCAUCAAAAGCUAGAAAGUAGAACAGGGAAUUUAAACCAAGUUUGCAUGUGUGUGUUUUGUCUUUAUCGUUAUUCUAUUUGCUCUACUCUCUUAAAAAGGCUACAUAAUUAUUUUUGGAGGGGUCCCUAUUCUUGGAGGAGGACAGGGAUAGGAUAGUCCAAUGUUGCCAUUGUGGAUUUGAGAUCCCUGAAAUAGAAGAUCCAGCUUUAAAUCAAAGCAGUACCCUUCAUUAAAUAGCUUUCAGCCAAAUAGGACAGAAAGGACAGGUCAAAAUUAAUUUCAUGUUCAUUCAUUGUUGUUUAGUCAUUUCAGUCGUGCCUAACUCUUUGUGACCUGAUUGGAGGUUUUCUUGGCAAAGACAUUGGAGUGGUUUGCCAUUUCCUUUUCCGGCUCAUUUUAAAGAUGAGGAACUGAGAUCUCAGGAAACAGGAGGACGCCACUGCCCUUCUUUAAUUUUUAGAAGCUCUGGAGGGUUUAGCCCCAGCCUUGAACACUUCUGUCCCUAUCAACUUGGAUGCCACUUGUUCAACAGUCUACAGUCUACCUGUGUGGGAAUAAUGAACUGCAGGAAUUCCAUGUGAACUGGAAUGACCUCCAGGAAGUGAUGCAGAGUGAAAGGAGCAGAACCAGGAGAACAUUGUACACAGAGACUGACACACUGUGGUACAAUCUAAUGUAAUGGACUUCUCUAUUAGUAGCAAUGCAAUGAUCCGGGACAAUUUUGAGGGACUUAUGAGAAAGAACAUUAUCCACAUCCAGAGGAAGAGCUGUGGGAGUAGAAACACAGAAGAAAAACAACUGCUUGAUCACAUGGGUCGAUGGGAAUAGGAUUGGGGAUAUAGGCUCUAAACGAUCACCGUAGUGCAAAUAUCAAUAAUAAGGAAAUAGGUUGGGGGUAGGGGAGGGAAAGAACAUGAAUCAUGUAUCCAUGGGAAAAUAUUCUUCUUUAUAUAUUUUUAAUUAAAAAAAUAUUCUAAAUUAAUUAAAUACAAUUUUCCAAAUUAGAAAAAAACAACAACAAUGUAAUCUCCUUGAAACAGGGAUUGUUUUCUUUUAGGGCUUAGCACAGUGCUUGGAACCUAAGCACUUAAUAAAUGCUUAUUCUUUU